AACGACUCUCGGCAACGGAUAUCUCGGCUCUCGCAUCGAUGAAGAACGUAGCGAAAUGCGAUACUUGGUGUGAAUUGCGGAAUCCCGUGAACCAUCGAGUCUUUGAACGCAAGUUGCGCCCCAAGCCUUCUGGCCGAGGGCACGUCUGCCUGGGUGUCACAAAU
rnacentral:rRNA from 1 species